CCCCUCUCAGGAUGGUACGUGGAGAGUUUCCAGUAUUCUACCAGGCUCCGCUAUGGGAAAGAGAGUCAAGCUGAGGCAAACCCAUUCCAUUCCCAGCUUGGGCAGUGGCUGGCGAGUGGAAGACCAUCUGCUACAAGU